AGCUUACGCCCUUCAAAUAUACCUGACCCGGAUUACAGCCGGAGAAUUAAAAGGGGGGAGACUUUAAAGUCUCCCCCCUU
rnacentral:sRNA from 1 species